GAAUAUCUUGAGAGCUGAAACUAUUAGUGGAUUUAUCAGUAAACAAAGUAUUUUUUCAAAGCUCAAUACCACACAUCUGUCCAUUAAUCAAAGCUAGUAACUCUUUCAUGUUAAUUACAUUUAAACUUAAUGGAUUACUGCAAAAGCCAGUAGUUUCUUUUUUAAGGAUUACUUUUUGGGGCUUUUCCCUUUUAUUCAACAGCAACAGCGGACAGACAUGAAUGAGGGGAUGACACGCAGCAAAGGGCCGCAGGUCCGAUUUGACCCGGGGCGCCUUAAAGGACUCGGCCCACACGGGGCGCACGCUCCUACUGGGUGAGCUAGAGUCCGCCCCGAGCCAGUAGUUUUACUUUAUAUUUACUUCAGCUGUUCAGAUUAAGGCUGCAAGUAACAAUUAUAAUGGAUUAUAGAUUAUUUAAUAAUUGCUUUUUUAUUAUCUUGAUUACUCAUCUUUUCGUGUAUAAACUGUCACAAAAUAUUGAUGACUUUCCAUCACAUCAUCCUUCUUCAAAUGGCUUGUUUUUGUCUAGCUCACAGUCCAAAGCUGAAAGAUUUUCAAUUUACGGUCAUAGAAAACUUAAGAAGCUGGAGAAAGUGAUAGACUGAUAUUUAGGGGGAAUACAUGUUUUUUUUUUUUUUAAGAGAGUUGGAUGAGAAGAUAAACACCACUUUCAAAUCUGUCUGUUAAAUUUCAAACAUUAAGCUAACAGCUAGCAUCUGGUUAGGGUGAACCACUACAGGCAGAACAAUGGUUUCUUUCAUGCACUGGUCAUUUUUAAGAUGGGUUAUAUUGCAUCUAUUCAUUCAGAUUAGUGGGGAAAAAAACACUCAAUGCACAUCUAGGUGUUUAUUUUACUACACUUUGUACAUUUCUUCUAAAUUCACCGACACUUAGAAUUUGAUAAUGCCUUAUUUGCAUAUUUAAACUUGAAAUACAAAAUAGAAUUUUUGUUAUAUAAGUAAUCAACAGGGGGAAGUUUCAUGGUGAUACAGUAUGUUAAAACUAUUCACCUGUAGUGUCUUGCAAAGAUGAAAAGUAUGAAUUUCACAUUAAUAUCUUUAGAGGGCUGUUCUCAUACUCUGAGCCAGAAAUCUGCUCUCCACUAAAUGGACUGACUGUAUUUAUAUACAGACACCAUUAACGACCACUCAAAGCACUUUUAACAGUAAAGCUGUUCACACACUUGCCCAAGGACACUUCAACAUGCAGGGCCAGGGAUCGAACCGCCAACCUUCUGAUUGGUCGGCGACCGCUCUACCACCUGUGUCACAGCCACUCAAAUUGCAAGUAUUGCUUACUCUACAUACACUGAACUUUGCCCUUGUAUUCCUACUGUAUAUAUUUUACAGAAGGGUUUGUUUAUAAAUCAUUCAUAGCCUGAUUUACAUAACAUUUCUAAAAACAUGGUUAAAAAAAUUUUUUUUUUUUUUCUUUCAUGGCUGACAGUAUUUUCUGAUUUAUUCUGAUAUGUCUAAAAUUCCCUCUGUAAAAACAAAAUAGGAAUUUUGAAUCUGGAUUUAUCCAAUGUUUAGAUUUCCGUUCUGGAAAUGUUAAAGGUUAUAAUUGGUAAUUAUCUGAAGUAAAUACUUGAUGGUAAGACAUACUGUGAUUUUGGGCAACAUAAAUAAAAGUGCCUUGACCAUCUUCCUGUACAAAAUGAGAACGAGCAAGACACUCAUCUUUUGUAGAAAAAUGAAAAAAUAUUCUCAUUUAUUGAGGUAAUUUUCUCUAGACAAAAACUGAGGUAACAAUUUGCAUAGUAUAACUUCCAUAAAUUCACACGCGCACACACAUCCAUGGGGUGGUAACCAAACAUGUGUCACUACGUCU